rnacentral:lncRNA from 1 species
UUGGGCAUUUCUAGCUGGAGGCAGUCCAGGGCACCUGGGUAUCCGUUGUCAUCGAUGUCUACGGCACCUCGAAGGGAGAAGCCAAAGGCAGAGCCUGUGGGGAAGGGGCUGUCCAGGACCUGGGAGGGACGUGAGCUCAGCCCCUCACUCUGACCCAGGAACACCAGCACUUGGCCCCGGCCACUGGGACCCCCGUAGGGGGCAGCCACUGCAACGUCUGGAAGGAGUAACAGAAAGGAAGUGGCUGAUUGUUAUUCAGCCUCCCUAGAUGACUGUAAAACUUUCCUGAGCUUCUCUGGGCACAUCCCAGGAGACCAGGAAAGGGGUGCAAAGUGUGGGUGAAGGAGGCACUGCCCUACCCUCCAGGAGUUAACAAUCAGGUGGGAGAGGGACCUGCCAAGUAGGAUUGUUAUAAUAACAGUGACAACUCUCACUGUCUAUUGAGGAAAAUAUAUCCUGAAAAUUAAGCAUCAUUAUUCCCUUUUCUAAAUUUUUUUUUUUGAGAUGGAGUCUCGCUCUGUUGUCCUGGCUGGAGUGCAGUGGUGCAAUCUCGGCUCACUGCAACCUCUGCCCCCCCCGUUAAAGUGAUUCUUGUGCCUCAGCCUCUUCAGUAGCUGGGAUUACAGGCGCCUACCACCAUGCCCGGCUAAUUUUUGUAUUUUUAGUAGAGACGGAGUUUCACCAUGUUGGUCAGGCUGGUCUCGAAUUCUCGACCUCAGGUGCCGCCUCUCCCCAGCACCUGCUGCACGGCCUGAGUUCCAGGCAGUGGAGGCCAUCACAGGCACCCAACUCCAACCUCUCCCCUGGCCCCACAUCCAGUCUCCCACCAAGUCCUAAUAAUCCGAGUCCUAAAUAUCUGUGAAGUCACUCCCAUCUCUAACUCCACCGCCAAAAUCCACAUCCAGGUGGUCAUUGUCUCUUGCCUGGAUUAAGGCAAACACAUCCUAAUUAGUCUUCAACUCUCCCAUCUGCUCUCCACUCAGCACCCCAUGUGUCUAAGCCACAUACUUAUAUGCUUAAAACCCAUCCUGGUUCUGGCUGCCCUCAGGCCAACUCCAUGCUUUUUGAGUGGCUGUUAACCCCUCUGCAGCAAGUUGGGCUCCUCUCUUCCCUCACCAUUGUAGCCAUCCCAGUCGAGGUCGCCCAGGGGUGCGAUGGCAGAGCCGAAUCGCCCAUAGAGCUGUGUGCCAGUCAGCAGGAGGCUGGGGGCACCCAGCGCGUGGGGGCCUCGCGGCUGCAGGAACAAAUACACACGCCCCACUUCGGCCAGUUUUCGGUCUGCCCGGCUCUCCAUAUACAGUGGA